UACGGAGGGUGCAAGCGUUAUCCGGAUUCACUGGGUUUAAAGGGUGCGUAGGCGGUCAGGUAAGUCCGUGGUGAAAUCUCCGAGCUUAACUCGGAAACUGCCAUGGAUACUAUUUGUCUUGAAUACUGUGGAGGUGAGCGGAAUAUGUCAUGUAGCGGUGAAAUGCUUAGAGAUGACAUAGAACACCAAUUGCGAAGGCAGCUCACUGCGCAGUUAUUGACGCUGAGGCACGAAAGCGUGGGGAUCAAACAGG
rnacentral:rRNA from 1 species